AUUGAACGCUGGCGGCAGGCCUAACACCUGCCAGUCGAGCGAGCGUCGGACGGGUGAGUAAUGUAUGUGGACUGCCCGAUCGAGGGGGUUAACUCCUGGCGACGGUAGCUAAUACUGCAUACUCUCGGAUAACCACUCUGGGCUUAGCUAGUCGGUGGGGUAAUGGCUCACCUAGGCGACGAUCCCUAGCUGGUCUGAGAGGAUGAUCAGCCACACUGGGACUGAGACACGGCCCAGACUCCUACGGAGGCAGCAGUGGGGAAUAUUGCACAAUGGGCGCAAGCCUGAUGCAGCCAUGCCGCGUGUAUGAAGAAGGCCCUAGGGUUGUAAAGUACUGUCAGUCGGGAGGCGUUACCGACAGAAGAAGCACCGGCUAACUCCGUGCCAGCAGCCGCGGUAAUUC
rnacentral:rRNA from 1 species